CCCCCUACCGGCUUGGGGUGGCAUCCCCAGGUCCGAGAUUGAACUCGAGCCACAGCAGCGCCUCAAGCUACAGCAGUGACAACGCUGGAUCCUUAACCCGCUGAGUCACCAGGGAACUCCAUGACUGCAGUUUUACGCUUAGAUCCUUUUCGCGUCCCCUCACAGAAGCAUUCUCCCCCUAGAGCCAGGCUCUCAAACCCCCCAGAGCCCAAGCUUGUAGGGCAGGGAGCACAUGUUCCCCACAUGGGUCUCUUGGGUUGACGGCAGUGGAGCCACUCCUGCUACCCUACCUUGGACCCUAGACCCAUGCAUCUGUCUCCUGGGACAAAGCCCGGUGUAACACUGUUGGCUCAUGCUGUGCCCUGCAUCCUGAAGAGAUGGGGCAUCCUUUCAGGUGUCCUGCGCUGGAAAUGCCCUGCGUUUUAGAGGGCCUCAUUGGCACCCUGGGCCGCUGAGUCCCGGUGUUGUCUCAGGCGCCCUUCUCCAAACGUUUAUCAGCGUCUCACUCCCAAGUCGGCUGGUACUCGGGCGCGUGACGGGAGUCCCUUUGGAGGGAACUGGGGGCAUCGCUGCAGCGAACACUCGGUCUGCAGUCUCCGCCGAGUUUAAUUUGGGCCUCACUUUCUGCUGAGCUUUUGCUGUGCUAGGAGUGUAGGAGGUGCGUCCGGGCCCCUCAGCGGGAUUAAGCGCUGUGCCCUGGGCAGAGCCCCAUGGGCACGCUCAGCCAGCCGGGGUUCCAUCCCCCUCUGCCCGGCACAGCUGCUCGGGGUGUUCGGUCCCCGCCCUUGAGUAGGACCAGCAGGCCCCAGUUGUGCCACGUUGAGGUUUGACCCCAGGAAGGAGUCUUGUGGCCGGGAGGGAGGGACAGGAGGCGGGGGCGGAUCCCAGGCAGACAGGCGUUGUCAUGAAAGGCGCCUGUCCCAGUGAGGCCUGCGUGUCAUUUCUAAGAAUAGUGUGUGUGUGUGUGUGGGGGGGGUGCCUCGGGUGCCCCCCCCCCCCAAAAAAGGUAGAAA